UUAAUAAUUAUAUUAAAAAUAAUUAUAAAAUUUAAAUUUUUUAGUAAUGUUUAAUAAAAAAAUAAUUUUAAUUAUAGUUUAAUAGUAUUGUGAAAGAAAAUUGAAAUAUAUUGAAAAAUUUUUAUAUAAAAAGAAAAUUUAAUUUAUUGUACCUUUUGUAUCAGGGUUUAUCAAAUAAAAAUUAUAAAUAUAUAAUUUUCUCGAUUUUAAAAGAUUUAAUAAAUUAUAAAAGUUAUUGUAAUAAAAUUAUUUUAAAUAAUUUAUUAGAAAUGAAAUGUUAUUCGUUUUUAAAGGUAUCUAGUUUUUUUAGAAAUAAAUUUAAUUUAUAAAUAUUUAAUUAUAAAAUUAAUUUUUAAUUUUAUAAAUUAUAUAUUUUACUAUUAAAUGGGAUAAGCUAUUUAAUAAAAUUUUAAAAAUAAUUAAAUUAUUUUAAUAAAUAUAUGCUUAUAACUAGCAAUUAUUAAUAAUUAUGUUAUAAUUUAUUUUAAUCAUAUUAUGAUUUAAUAUAUUUUAAAUUUUUAUAAAAAUAUUUAUUUAAAUUUUAAAAAUAAAAAAAUAAUGAUAAAAUUAGUAUAUUUAUUUGUAAAAAUAAAAAUUAAAUGAAAGGUUUAGUAUAAAGAAUUCGGCAAAAUUAAUAUUCACCUGUUUAACAAAAACAUGUCUUUUAGAAUUUAAUUUAAAGUCUAACCUGCCCACUGAAUUUUUAAAUGGCCGCAGUAUCCUAACUGUGCAAAGGUAGCAUAAUCAUUAGUCUUUUAAUUGAAGGCUGGAAUGAAUGGUUGAAUGAAAUAUUAACUGUUUCAUAUAAAUUUAUAAUAGAAUUUUAUUUUUUAGUCAAAAAGCUAAAAUAUUAUUAAAAGACGAGAAGACCCUAUAAAUCUUUAUACUUAGAAAAUUUUAGUUAUUUAGAUUAAUUAAAUUAUAAUUUUUAUAAGUAUUUUAUUGGGGUGAUAUUAAAAUUUAAUAAACUUUUAAUUUAUUUUAUACAUAAAUUAAUGAAUUUUUGAUCCAUUUAUUAUGAUUAAAAAAUUAAGUUACUUUAGGGAUAACAGCGUAAUUUUUUUAGAGAGUUCAUAUUGAUAAAAAAGAUUGCGACCUCGAUGUUGGAUUAAGAUAUAGUUUUAGGUGCAGCAGCUUAAACUUAAAGUCUGUUCGACUUUUAAAUUCUUACAUGAUCUGAGUUCAGACCGGCGUAAGCCAGGUUGGUUUCUAUCUUUAAUAAAUAAAUAUAUUUUAGUACGAAAGGACCAAAUAUAUAAAUUAUAAAUUUUUAAUAAUGAAUAUUAAUAAUAU
rnacentral:rRNA from 1 species